UCAAGUUAUUAAGGGUGCAGGGCGGAUGCCUUGGCACUAGGAGCCGAUGAAGGACGUGAUAAGCUGCGAUAAGCUUCGGGGAGUUGCACGUAAACUUUGAUCCGAAGAUUUCCGAAUGAGGAAACUCACUUAGAGUAAUGUCUAAGUAUCAUUAAGUGAAUACAUAGCUUAAUGAGGGGAACUCAGGGAACUGAAACAUCUAAGUACCUGAAGGAAGAGAAAGAAAUUCGAUUCCGUAAGUAGCGGCGAGCGAACGCGGAUUAGCCCAAACCAAUAAAGUUUUCUUUAUUGGGGUUGCGGACAUAUCAUAACGAAGAGGUAUCGUAAUUGAAGAGGUUUGGAAAGACCCACCACAGAAGGUAAUAGUCCUGUAUGUUAAACGAGAAGACUUCAGAUAUGAUCCAGAGUACCACGGGACACGUGAAACCCUGUGGGAAGCAGGAGGGACCACCCUCCAAGGCUAAAUACUACCUAGUGACCGAUAGCGUAUAGUACCGUGAGGGAAAGGUGAAAAGAACCCCGGGAGGGGAGUGAAAUAGAACCUGAAACCCUGCACUUACAAGCUGUGGAAGCACAUUUCUUGUGUGACCGCGUACUUUUUGUAGAACGGGCCAACGAGUUACGUUAAGUAGCAAGGUUAAGCACUUAAGGUGCGGAGCCGUAGCGAAAGCGAGUUUUAACUGAGCGUUCAGUUACUUGACGUAGACCCGAAACCGGGCGACCUACCCAUGAGCAGGAUGAAGCGAAAGUAAAAUUUCGUGGAGGUCCGAACCCACGAGCGUUGAAAAGCUCGGGGAUGACUUGUGGGUAGCGGUGAAAUUCCAAUCGAGCCCGGAGAUAGCUGGUUCUCCCCGAAAUAGCUUUAGGGCUAGCCUCAAGGUGAGAGAUACGGAGGUAGAGCACUGAAUGUCCUAGGGGGUAUUGCACCUACCGAAGACUAUCAAACUCCGAAUGCCGUCAUCUUAUACUUGGGAGUCAGACUGUGGGUGAUAAGAUUCAUAGUCGAAAGGGCAACAGCCCAGAUCGUCAGCUAAGGUCCCUAAAUGUAAGUUAAGUGGUAAAGGAUGUGGGAUUGCACAGACAACCAGGAUGUUGGCUUAGAAGCAGCCACUCAUUCAAAGAGUGCGUAAUAGCUCACUGGUCGAGUGAUCCUGCGCCGAAGAUUUCCGGGGCUAAAACUUACUACCGAAGCUACGGCAUCAGUAAUGAUGGGUAGGGGAGCUUCCCAUACGGGUUGAAGCAUGACCGUAAGGACAUGUGGACAGUAUGGGAGUGAGAAUGUUGGCAUGAGUAGCGAGAUGUGGGUGAGAAUCCCACAGGCCGUAAACCCAAGGUUUCCAGGGGAAGGUUCGUCCGCCCUGGGUUAGUCGGGACCUAAGCUGAGGCCGAAAGGCGUAGGUGAUGGACAACAGGUUGAUAUUCCUGUACUACCGAUAACCGUUUGAGAGAAGGGAUGACACAGUAGGAUAAGCUAAGCACACUGUUGGUUAUGUGUGCCCAAGCAUUGAGGCAGUCAAAGUAGGCAAAUCCGCUUUGAUAAUGCUGGGAUGUGAUGGGGAGCGAAAUUUAGUAGCGAAGUAGCUGAUUUCACACUGUCAAGAAAAGUCUCUAUCGAGGUUAAAGGUACCCGUACCGCAAACCGACACAGGUGGGUGAGGAGAGUAUCCUAAGGCCAGCGAGAGAACUGUUGUUAAGGAACUCGGCAAAAUGACCCCGUAACUUAGGGAUAAGGGGUGCCACCAUCAGGUGGCCGCAGAGAAUAGGCCCAAGCGACUGUUUACCAAAAACAUAGGUUUCUGCUAAGUCGCAAGACGAUGUAUAGGAGCUGACGCCUGCCCGGUGCUGGAAGGUUAAGGGGAUCUGUUAGAGCAAUCGAAGCAGUGAACUUAAGCCCCAGUAAACGGCGGCCGUAACUAUAACGGUCCUAAGGUAGCGAAAUUCCUUGUCGGGUAAGUUCCGACCCGCACGAAAGGCGUAACGAUUUGGGCACUGUCUCAACAACAGACUCGGUGAAAUUGUAAUUCCGGUGAAGAUGCCGGAUACCUGCGACAGGACGGAAAGACCCCAUGGAGCUUUACUGUAGCUUGACAUUGGGUCUUGGUACUACAUGUACAGGAUAGGUGGGAGGCUUUGAAACCAGGACGCCAGUUUUGGCGGAGCCAUCCUUGGGAUACCACCCUUGUAGUACUGGGACUCUAACCAUAGGCCAUGAAUCUGGUCUUGGGACACUGUCA
rnacentral:rRNA from 1 species